CUUGGUCAUUUAGAGGAAGUAAAAGUCGUAACAAGGUUUCCGUAGGUGAACCUGCGGAAGGAUCAUUAAAGAGUUAGGGUCUUCUCGGCCCGGCCUCCCAACCCUAUGUUUAUUGAACCUCUGUUGCUUCGGCGGAUCCGCCUCACGGCCGCCGGAGGAUCGCUGCAAGGCGUCCUCUGGCCCGCGUCCGCCGGUAGCCGACCACUUAAAAAAACGCUGAAUGAAUCGUGUCCUGUGUCUAAGUCUAUGAUUAAAUUAAAGCAAAACUUUCAACAACGGAUCUCUUGGUUCUGGCAUCGAUGAAGAACGCAGCGAAAUGCGAUAAGUAAUGCGAAUUGCAGAAUUCCAGUGAGUCAUCGAAUCUUUGAACGCACAUUGCGCCCUUUGGUAUUCCGAAGGGCAUGCCUGUUCGAGCGUCAUUAUCACCCCUCAAGCCCCGUGCUUGGUGUUGGACGGCCUGGUCGCGUCACCGCGUCCCCUCCUAAAGACAAUGACGGCGGCCUGUGGCUCCCCCGGUACACUGAGCUUUUAACUGAGCACGUGCCGGACAAGGGUGCCCGGGACCCGGUCUGCUCCCUUUACCGGGAAACUUUUCAAUGGUUGACCUCGGAUCAGGUAGGAAUACGCGCUGAACUUAAGCAUAUCAAUAAGCGGAGGA
rnacentral:rRNA from 1 species